UACGUAGGGUGCAAGCGUUGUCCGGAAUUAUUGGGCGUAAAGCGCGUGUAGGCGGCAUGGCAAGUCGGGUGUGAAAGCCCUCAGCUCAACUGAGGAAGUGCGCCCGAAACUGCUUUGCUUGAGUGCUGGAGAGGGUCGCGGAAUUCCCCAAGUAGAGGUGAAAUUCGUAGAUAUGGGGAGGAACACCGGUGGCGAAGGCGGCGACCUGGACAGUAACUGACGCUGAGACGCGAAAGCGUGGGUAGCAAACAGG
rnacentral:rRNA from 1 species